ACUGUGUGUUGUUGGGUAGGGGAGCGUUCUGUAAGCCUGCGAAGGUGUCCCGUGAGGGAUGCUGGAGGUAUCAGAAGUGCGAAUGCUGACAUAAGUAACGAUAAAGCGGGUGAAAAGCCCGCUCGCCGGAAGACCAAGGGUUCCUGUCCAACGUUAAUCGGGGCAGGGUGAGUCGACCCCUAAGGCGAGGCCGAAAGGCGUAGUCGAUGGGAAACGGGUUAAUAUUCCCGUACUUGGUGUUACUGCGAAGGGGGGACGGAGAAGGCUAUGUUGGCCGGGCGACGGUUGUCCCGGUUUAAGCGUGUAGGCUGGUUUUCCAGGCAAAUCCGGAAAAUCAAGGCUGAGGCGUGAUGACGAGGCACUACGGUGCUGAAGCAACAAAUGCCCUGCUUCCAGGAAAAGCCUCUAAGCAUCAGGUAACAUCAAAUCGUACCCCAAACCGACACAGGUGGUCAGGUAGAGAAUACCAAGGCGCUUGAGAGAACUCGGGUGAAGGAACUAGGCAAAAUGGUGCCGUAACUUCGGGAGAAGGCACGCUGACACGUAGGUGAAGUGAUUUACUCAUGGAGCUGAAGUCAGUCGAAGAUACCAGCUGGCUGCAACUGUUUAUUAAAAACACAGCACUGUGCAAACACGAAAGUGGACGUAUACGGUGUGACGCCUGCCCGGUGCCGGAAGGUUAAUUGAUGGGGUCAGCGCAAGCGAAGCUCCUGAUCGAAGCCCCGGUAAACGGCGGCCGUAACUAUAACGGUCCUAAGGUAGCGAAAUUCCUUGUCGGGUAAGUUCCGACCUGCACGAAUGGCGUAAUGAUGGCCAGGCUGUCUCCACCCGAGACUCAGUGAAAUUGAACUCGCUGUGAAGAUGCAGUGUACCCGCGGCAAGACGGAAAGACCCCGUGAACCUUUACUAUAGCUUGACACUGAACAUUGAGCCUUGAUGUGUAGGAUAGGUGGGAGGCUUUGAAGUGUGGACGCCAGUCUGCAUGGAGCCGACCUUGAAAUACCACCCUUUAAUGUUUGAUGUUCUAACGUGGACCCGUUACCCGGGUUGCGGACAGUGUCUGGUGGGUAGUUUGACUGGGGCGGUCUCCUCCUAAAGAGUAACGGAGGAGCACGAAGGUUGGCUAAUCCUGGUCGGACAUCAGGAGGUUAGUGCAAUGGCAUAAGCCAGCUUGACUGCGAGCGUGACGGCGCGAGCAGGUGCGAAAGCAGGUCAUAGUGAUCCGGUGGUUCUGAAUGGAAGGGCCAUCGCUCAACGGAUAAAAGGUACUCCGGGGAUAACAGGCUGAUACCGCCCAAGAGUUCAUAUCGACGGCGGUGUUUGGCACCUCGAUGUCGGCUCAUCACAUCCUGGGGCUGAAGUAGGUCCCAAGGGUAUGGCUGUUCGCCAUUUAAAGUGGUACGCGAGCUGGGUUUAGAACGUCGUGAGACAGUUCGGUCCCUAUCUGCCGUGGGCGCUGGAGAACUGAGGGGGGCUGCUCCUAGUACGAGAGGACCGGAGUGGACGCAUCACUGGUGUUCGGGUUGUCAUGCCAAUGGCACUGCCCGGUAGCUAAAUGCGGAAGAGAUAAGUGCUGAAAGCAUCUAAGCACGAAACUUGCCCCGAGAUGAGUUCUCCCUGAGACUUAGAGUCUCCUGAAGGAACGUUGAAGACGACGACGUUGAUAGGCCGGGUGUGUAAGCGCAGCGAUGCGUUGAGCUAACCGGUACUAAUGAACCGUGAGGCUUAACCUUACAACGCCGAAG
rnacentral:rRNA from 1 species